GCACUGAUGUUUGAAUGGUAGAAUUCUCACCUCCCAUGCGAGAGACCUGGGUUUAAUUUCCAGCCAGUACG
rnacentral:tRNA from 1 species